AGUGAACGCUGGCGGUAGGCCUGACACAUGCAAGUCGAACGGCAGCACAGUAAGAGCUUGCUCUUACGGGUGGCGAGUGGCGGACGGGUGAGGAAUACAUCGGAAUCUACUUUUUCGUGGGGGAUAACGUAGGGAAACUUACGCUAAUACCGCAUACGACCUACGGGUGAAAGCAGGGGAUCUUCGGACCUUGCGCGAUUGAAUGAGCCGAUGUCGGAUUAGCUAGUUGGCGGGGUAAAGGCCCACCAAGGCGACGAUCCGUAGCUGGUCUGAGAGGAUGAUCAGCCACACUGGAACUGAGACACGGUCCAGACUCCUACGGGAGGCAGCAGUGGGGAAUAUUGGACAAUGGGCGCAAGCCUGAUCCAGCCAUACCGCGCGGGUGAAGAAGGCCUUCGGGUUGUAAAGCCCUUUUGUUGGGAAAGAAAAGCAGCAGGUUAAUACCCCGCUGUUCUGACGGUACCCAAAGAAUAAGCACCGGCUAACUUCGUG
rnacentral:rRNA from 1 species